GCCCUCUUAGCUUAAUGGAUCAAAGCAGUCCCGUCCUAAGGGAAAGAUUAGAGGUUCGACUCCUCUAGAGGGCA
rnacentral:tRNA from 1 species